UGGAAAUGUCCAAGACCAGGCUGGACCAGGCUUGGAGCAACCUGGACUAGUGGAAGGUGUCCCUGCCCAUGGCAGGGGGUGCAAUGGGAUGA